UAUUCAAUUCAUAUAUUUUUUUAUUAGAGUUAAACUCAAAUAAAAUAUAUAAAAUAAUUAAAUUUCGUACUUAUUUCAAUCUCAGAUACUAAUUAUUAAAUUUUGACUAAAUUACAGAAAACCUCUCUAUACAAAUUCGUUGUUUCACUUUCUCUCUAUUACUUUUUAAAACCUACAUUUUGCCCUUUUAAAAUUUUAAAAAUAUUUUCAGGAGAUUACGAUGCUAAUGGAGAUAGCAAAAUGACCAAAUUACCAUUAUUUCUUCUAUAAAAAAAAUAUAUUUUUUUAAUAUAUUUUUAUCACUUUAAAAAAUAUUUUCGAUAUAAAUUAUAAAAAAAAUGAACGGAAUAAUAAUAGAACCCUGACGGAGGGGGUUAAAUACAACAACUUAAAAUUUUAAAAGAGCAAAAUAUAAAUUUUUAAAAGUAAAAAAAAAAAAGCAAAAAACGAAUAUUUAUAGAAAUUUUUUUUAUAAUUCAGUCUUAAAUUUUUAACUAAUUGUGCUAGAUCCAGUUGAGUCGGCGGUG
rnacentral:lncRNA from 1 species